AAGAUAUUGUAUAAAUUUUAAGCUUCUAACUUAAAAAUAGUCCUACAAGACUAAUAUCUUG
rnacentral:tRNA from 1 species